GUGCAGCAGGCGCGAAUACUCCGCAAUGCGGGCAACCGCGACGGGGCUACCCCGAGUGCCGGGCGAAGAGCCCGGCUUUUGCCCGGUCUAAAACGCCGGGCGAAUAAGCGGGGGGCAAGUCUGGUGUCAGCCGCCGCGGUAAUACCAGCUCCGCGAGUGGUCGGGGUGUUUAUUGGGCUUAAAGCGCCCGCAGCCGGCCCGGCAAGUCGCUCCUGAAAUCCCCGGGCUCAACCCGGGGGCGGGGGGCGAUACUGCCGGGCUAGGGGGCGGGAGAGGCCGCCGGUACUCCGGGGGUAGGGGCGAAAUCCGUUAAUCCCCGGAGGACCACCAGUGGCGAAAGCGGGCGGCCAGAACGCGCCCGACGGUGAGGGGCGAAAGCCGGGGGAGCAAAGGGGAUUAGAUACCCCUGUAGUCCCGGCCGUAAACGAUGCGGGCUAGCUGUCGGCCGGGCUUAGGGCCCGCCCAGUGCCGCAGGGAAGCCGUUAAGCCCGCCGCCUGGGGAGUACGGCCGCAAGGCUGAAACUUAAAGGAAUUGGCGGGGGAGCAC
rnacentral:rRNA from 1 species